ensembl:lncRNA
GGUCAGCACCCAACUGGGAUGGUCCCAGUCUGGCGGGCACCCAGGUGUGACGCUGGCACUCACCCGGUGGCCGCGUUGUCCCCGUUGCUGGUGGCCUCCAGCCGUGCCCUCUUGCCCCCAGGUCCUGGCAGAUCACCGUGCCGCUUCGGUGGCCCCUCUGGGGACGUGGAGGGGACGCCGUGGUGGGUGACACCGUGAUGGGUGACGCUGUGAUGGGUGACAUUGGUGACACCAUGAUGGGUGAUGUCAUGUUGGGUGACACCGUGAUGGGUGACACCGGUGACGCCAUGUUGGGUGAUGCCAUGAUGAUGGGUGACGCCGUGUUGGGUGACAUCGGUGACGCUGUAGCUCGGGGUGCCGUUCAGGUGGGUGGCACUGCCAUCCGCGGUGGUCCCACGGGUGACAUCGUGAUGGGUGACACCUCCGCAGGCCCCAUGGCCAUCAGUGACGUGGUUACGGGUGACAUCUCCACGGGUGACACCUCCACGGGUGACACCUCCAUGGGUGACACCUCCAGGGGUGACACCUCCAUGGGUGACACCUCCACCGGUUCUGUGGCCACCACCGACGUGGUUCUGGGUGACGUCUCCCCAGGUGACACCUCCACAGGUGACAUCCCCCUGGCUCUGGGUGACACCUCCACGGGUGACACCGCCGUGGGUGACACCACCCCAGGAGGCGCUUCCCCAGGUGACACCUCCGUGGCUCUGGGUGACACUUCCAUGGGUGACGCUCCCCCAGGUGACAUCCCCAUGGUUGACAUCUUCAUGGUUCCAGGUGACACCUCCGUGGGUGACACCUCCGUGGGUGACACCUCCACGGCUCCGGGUGACAUCUCCGUGGUUCUGGGUGACAUCUCCAUGGGUGACAUCUCCGUGGGUGACCUCUCCGUGGGUGACACCUCCGUGGGUGCCACCUCCAUGGGUGCCACCUCCAUGGCUCCAGAUGUCACCUCCAUGGGUGACAACCCCGUGGGUGCCACCUCCACGGCCCCAGGUGCCACCUCCAUGGGUGACAUCUCCUUGGGUGACAUCCCCAUGGGUGCCACCUCCGUUGGUGACAUCUCCGUGAGCAACACCUCCUUGGGUGCCACCUCCGUGGCUCUGGGUGACAUCUCCAUGGCUCCAGGUGACACCUCCAUGGCUCCGGGUGACACCUCCAUGGGUGCCACCUCCAUGGGUGACAUCCCCAUGGGUGCCACCUCCGUUGGUGACAUCUCCGUGAGCAACACCUCCUUGGGUGCCACCUCCGUGGCUCUGGGUGACAUCUCCAUGGCUCCAGGUGCCACCUCCAUGGGUGACAUCCCCAUGGGUGCCACCUCCGUUGGUGACAUCUCCGUGAGCAACACCUCCCUGGGUGCCACCUCCACAACCCUGGGUGCCACCCCCAUGGCUCCAGGCGUCACCUCCAUGGGUGCCACCCCCAUGGCUCCAGGUGUCACCUCCAUGGGUGCCACCCGCACGGCUCCNNNNNNNNNNNNNNNNNNNNNNNNNNNNNNNNNNNNNNNNNNNNNNNNCCAGGGCUCCAGGUGUCCCCUCCAUGGGUGCCACCCGCACGGCCCCGGCCGCCCCCCCUGCCACCCCCACCCCGUGUCCCCACCGCUUGUCCCCGGCCGUCCCCUCCCGCCCCCCAGGCGCUGUCCCCGUUGGCCCCGGGUGCCACGUCGCCUUUGGCGCCCGCCAUGUUGCGCAGGACGAACUCCACGAUGUCGGACGGGAGGUCCUCGGUGUCACCUCCUCGUCCCCUCUGUCCCUUGUCCCCGUCGUCCACCCCGUCCAGCUGCUGGAUGUGGGGCUGCUCGGCGCCGUGGGGCGGAGCCGUGGGGCGCAGGGAGGAGCUCAGCAUGGAGCGGCCGUGGCGGGCGCUGCGCCGGCCACCAUCGGCCUUGGGGACACCCAUGGGGACACCAAUGGGGACACCCAUGGGGACAUCCUUGGGGACACCUCCUGGGGACAGCAGUUCUGAUGGUGGCACUGUUGGUGGCCACGGUUCCAUAGGGGGUGGCUUCCUCGGGGCUGGCGUUGGCCCGUUGGGUGGCAUUGGUGGCCCGUUGGGUGACACUGGUGGCCCAUCGGGUGGCACUGGUGGCCCGUUGGGUGGCACUGGCCCAGUGGGUGACAUUGGUGGCCCGUUGGGUGGCACUGGCCCGUUGGGUGGCAUCGGUAGCCCGUUGGGUGGCACUGGUGGCCCGUUGAGUGGCACUGGCCCAGUGGGUGACAUUGGUGGCCCAUCGGGUGGCACUGGUGGCCUGCUGGGUGACAUCGGUGGCCUGAAGGGUGACAUCGGCCCGUUGGGUGGCACCGACAGCCUGUUGGGUGACACUAGCCCAUUGGGUGACAUUGGUGGCCCGUCGGGUGGCAUCGGCCUGUUGGGUGGCAUUGGUGGCCCGCUGGGUGACAUUAAUGACCAGCUGGGUGACGUUGGUGGCCCGUUGGGUGACACUGAGCCGUUGGGUGACAUUGGUGGCCCAUUGGGUGACACUGGCCCAUUGGGUGGCACUGGUGGCCUGUGUGGCCUGUUGGGUGACGCUGAUGAUCCGUUGGGUGACACUGGUGGCCCGUUGGGUGGCACUGGUGGCCCGCUGGGUGACACUGGCCUACUGGGUGGCAUUGAUGACCUGUUGGGUGGCAUUGAUGACCUGUUGGGUGACGCUGGCCCGUUGGGUGGCACUGGUGGCCCAUUGGAUGACACUGAUGGCCCACUGGGUGACACUGGUGGCCCAUUGGGUGACACUGGCCCAUUCGGUGACACUUGUAGUCCACUGGGUGACAUCGGCGGCCCAUUGGGUGACAUCUGUCCCCAGAGCAAUAGUGGCCCAUUGGAUGACACUGGUGGCCCACCGGGUGACGUUGGUGGCCCAUUGAGUGACAUCUGUCCCAAGAGCGACGGUGGCCCGUUGGAUGACAUCGGUGGCCCACUGGGUGAGCCUGGUAGCCCAUAGGGCGACACCGGCGGCCCGUGAGGUGACAUCUGUCCCAAGAGCGACGGCGGCCCAUU